AAUCAGGCGGUUCCGGGCGGUAGAAUUCCUGGGGCUGUGGAAGUCCCAGAGCUGUUGCUUGGGUUGUCUGAGGAAGACUUGUGUGGGGGGAACCACACCAUUAUGGACUCACAGAAACUGGAUUUACUCUUUUGUCUAUAACAACAAAACAAAACCACACAAGAUAUACAAAAUGCAGAUUUCCAAGAUACUGGGCAUCAGGCAAAAGAGGACGGCAAUUCCAGACACUUGGAAACACACACAGUUCAGAAUGUUCAACAGGUAAAUGGAAAAUGUGAAAAAGACCCAAUCUCACGUUAAGCGAUGAAAACCACAAUGCCUGAAGAGAAGUGUACUGCAAGGGGUUGACAGCAAUAGAAAAUGCAGAAGAAAGACAUUUCAUAGGACUUGUUUUGAAUCUGUAGACCCCGUUGGUUAGUAUUGCCGCCUUCACUCCAUAAAAUCUAAUCCAUGAACA